CGAGAAUCUCAGUGGCUUCAGUUUAGAGAAGACCGCUGGUCCUGACCACCGAAGGGGAGCAUCUUAGCCUAUUAUUUACACAUGUCACUUGCCGAUGAUUGUUACUGUGUGUGGGCAAAAUGUGAGGGGGACAGCAACACAAGCGACACGUUGGAAAUCAGCUGCAGCAGAACAAACAGGGACAGCUCCAAUCAAACAGUGGGCGGAGAGCACAGAGCUCACUUUGGAGGGGACGGUUGUCAGGCCAGGCCGUGGCUUUUGAAAGGUGAUGAUGUCAUCCUGGAGGGACGUGAGUGUGAGGCCAUCCAUCUGGUGCAACGGAGGCCGCAGCAGGCUCAAGCCCACGGUCUGCUGCAAGACUUCCUGUUGCUCUCCGAUGGGCUUCCUGCCCUCGUCAGCAUGUGGUCAUGACAACCGUGGGGAGAAGACGGACCAGGCCAGAUCAGCGCAAACAGCAACUCGUGACACCAUCACCCCUCACACACACACACACACACACACACACACACACACACACACACACACACACACACACACACAGAUUCAGCACGAGGUCAACAAAACUCAUGACCUCUCGUGUUCAGACAGGCGACACAUUAAGUAUUCCUUCAUUGCUCUUUCUUCCUGACCUUUGCUGCUUUGGACACUGAUGAUUUUUAAAUGCAACCUGCCUUGUCAGUCAAACUGUUCUCAGCAUUUGUUAAAUGUUAGAGGGAUUGAUAAGAUUUUGGGUUAAUACAUUUUUUGACGUAUAUAAUUUUGUACUAUACCAAAACCUUUGCAUGAGCAAACAGGUACUACAAGAUCACAGCUGAAUAUUGAGGGGAAAAUCUUUUCUGACACAAACACACAGACACACAGACACACACACACACACACAUACACACACACACACACAGACACAGACACACACAUGUUGCAGUGUCUGAGUAGCAGUCUAAGCAUACUCUAAUUUGGUUGGAUACCAAUUCGUCAGUCAUGGAGGAAUGAUAAGUUUACAUAUUUUUUUUACAGUCACUGUAGUACAGCGCAUGACACUGUUCUAGAAACCCUUGUGUGUAUUUAUUUUCCUCACAAUGAAAACACAUCCAACAUCCAAAACAUCCACUCACUCUACUCCAUAAUGUUUGUUAAAGUCGUCAUGUGAAAGAGAACUGGCGAGACUUUUUGAUAGCAUCAUUACCAGGGUGCUGUAGCGCUGUGUCUAUGUUUAAAUGUGUCUACCAAACUGCAAAUGCAGACUUUGACACUUGGUGCGUGCACGCCCUCAGCUGCUGUGCUACUAGAGGCUGCUUUGCGACUCGCUCACCACUUGCUCCCCUUCACGGGGAGUGAGGCUCCAUGGCGGGGACCUCCACCCAUUGAAGGCUCCAUGAGCGGGAGUCACUGUAUGGAGGCUGCAGUCAGAGGCCUGGGUGCUGCUAAGGAGGUGUGAAUUGUGAGCAGAGGCUUAAGGGCCGUAGACCCCCCCCCCCUCCUUUACCACAACGACACACAAGGAGAAAAAUAUGUGCCUGUGCUAACAAACACGUGCGCCGCUAACACAUGCAUACGCACACGGGGACACAUGCAACCCCCAACAGACACCGCAAGGUUUAAACCAUGGUGCACAUGCACAUUUUGCAGCCUUUCAUCAAAAAUGCUGACAAUGUGGAGUGUCUGUUUGUCUGUUUGUUUGUUUGUCUCUCUCUCUCUCUCUCUCUCUCUCUGUGUGUGUGUGUGUGUGUAUGUGUGCAUUUAUGAGAAACAGUGGUCUUUACUGUGUGUAUGGUUUAAUUUGCGCCAAUCACAACACAUCACGUGUUCCUCCCCACCCCAUCAAAGAGGUCAGUGGUGUUGAGAACAAACACAAAUGUGCUUCUUCUAGGUGAGCAUUCUGGGUUGCAGGGAUGCAAAUCAUCACGGCCGGUUCAUCUUGUAACCUUAAAGCAGCCCUAAAGGGGUAAGAUCAUUAAACCCCUCCCACCACUCAAAGGCUCGUAGAUAACAUCAACACCGAGCAAGGGACAUACUCAAUCUCAACAGAUGCAACAAAUGCACAAGUAUCGUACUGUACCACAACAGGUAUUUACAGACAAUUGUAACUGUUGCUGCCCGAUGCAAGUCGCUGCCUAAUGUGUCAUGUAACGACAUUAGCUACAAGAGACAGCGGUAAUCCAAGAUGGCAGAGCUAAAUCAUAGACAGCAGUAUUUCUACAUAAAAAAGAAUUUCAGGAUUUGUGCCCAUACAUUUAGUAAAAGUUAACAAGUAAUAAGCACCAUUCAAUCUAAAAGGUCAGUUUUUUUGUAACCCCAAAAAAAAAACAUGCCUGAGCAUGCGUUGACUCACUUUGGACAGCGACUCACAUCGGGUUGUGACAGGGACACCCAAAAGCAAUUCUUCUUUAGGACUGAUGGAACACUGAAGUUUUGGCAAGCUUCUAUUGGGUCGUUCUUUGUUACAAUUGAUCUUUCUUAAUGCACCUUCAAAGGUGAAAUGUAAAGAAAGUAAUUUCACAAUACUCAAGAAGUAGAAGUGUAGGGCCAUGCACAUUCCAGGCCAAAUUUGGAUGGGUACUGGAUCCAGCGUGAAAGUAUCACAAGAGGAAAAGAGAUCCACCAUUUUGCUCCCGUUCAUAAUCUUUUUUUUAAUUGUGUAACAUUUCGAGCUCUGAGUACGCUGAGACAUAAGAAAUUGUUAUAUAUCGUUGUAAAAAUUAUUGUUUAUUUGUAGAAUUUUAGUGUUAUUUACAGAAAACCUCAGGCUAAAGGGACUGGAAACCCUUUCCUUCCCCCAUAUUACAUAAUGGAUCUUUUUCCAAAAUAACAGAAAAUGUUCUUUGUUUCACACACACAACAACAACAAAAAACUUUACAAGACGCCUCAUUCAUCACAAGACCGAGACUUGCACAUCACAUGACCCAUGGAGUGUCAGGUCCUAACGCUAGCACAUGCAGAGGGGCAGCACAUGUGUAUGACUCUUAAACAACUGACCCCAUCUCUGGCUAAGACACCAUAGCUGCCACCUUCUGCUUAGACAGUCAGAUAGUGGAGACAAUGUGGUUAGCUAACGCCCCUUUUGUCCCAGCUUAAACAAUGUUGUCCUGUCCCAGUGCACAUGGGGAGGAAUCAGAAGACUGUGGUUUACAUUUGAAAGUGAUAGGACAUGUGAAACUAAGACAACUGUGGGAUUCAGUAGUUGUGGUGAGAAGCAUACCCAGAUUAAGAGCAAACGAACUUAUUUACCAACAAAACAUACACUGCCUCCUCGAUUCUCAACAAUUAGAGUUUGCUGUUCACUAUACCAAGGAUAAGAAUCUGACACUGUCACCAUGGCAUCGGCAACAUUAUACCCCUUUUCUGUAACCUUUUUUCCCACAGGGAGAAGGCAUUCAAUGUCCUUGGCUCAGUAUUUCAGAGCCUUACAGAAAAAUCACAGAAGGCUGAGCUCUUCUAUUAUUUUAUUUGAUUUCAGCUGUGGGUUGUUGUUUCGACUCAUAAUAAAGUCUUUGUCAUCUGG